UAGAGUUUGAUCCUGGCUCAGAUUGAACGCUGGCGGCAGGCCUAACACAUGCAAGUCGAGCGGUAGCACAGAGGAGCUUGCUCCUCGGGUGACGAGCGGCGGACGGGUGAGUAAUGUCUGGGAAACUGCCUGAUGGAGGGGGAUAACUACUGGAAACGGUAGCUAAUACCGCAUAACGUCGCAAGACCAAAGAGGGGGACCUUCGGGCCUCUUGCCAUCAGAUGUGCCCAGAUGGGAUUAGCUAGUAGGUGGGGCAACGGCUCACCUAGGCGACGAUCCCUAGCUGGUCUGAGAGGAUGACCAGCCACACUGGAACUGAGACACGGUCCAGACUCCUACGGGAGGCAGCAGUGGGGAAUAUUGCACAAUGGGCGCAAGCCUGAUGCAGCCAUGCCGCGUGUAUGAAGAAGGCCUUCGGGUUGUAAAGUACUUUCAGCGGGGAGGAAGGUGUUGAGGCUAAUAACCUCAGCAAUUGACGUUACCCGCAGAAGAAGCACCGGCUAACUCCGUGCCAGCAGCCGCGGUAAUACGGAGGGUGCAAGCGUUAAUCGGAAUUACUGGGCGUAAAGCGCACGCAGGCGGUCUGUCAAGUCGGAUGUGAAAUCCCCGGGCUCAACCUGGGAACUGCAUUCGAAACUGGCAGGCUAGAGUCUUGUAGAGGGGGGUAGAAUUCCAGGUGUAGCGGUGAAAUGCGUAGAGAUCUGGAGGAAUACCGGUGGCGAAGGCGGCCCCCUGGACAAAGACUGACGCUCAGGUGCGAAAGCGUGGGGAGCA
rnacentral:rRNA from 1 species